UUGAGCGGAGAUAUAUGGAGCUUGCUUUAUAUAACUUAGCAGCGAACGGGUGAGUAACACGUAGAUAAUCUAUCCUAUACUGGGGGAUAGCCCGAUGAAAGUUGGAUUAAUACCGCAUAUAGCUAUAUAGUUGCAUGAUUAUGUAGUGAGAGAUUUAUUGGUAUAGGAGGAGUCUGCGGCACAUUAGCUAGUAGGUGAGGUAAAGGCUUACCUAGGCGACGAUGUGUAGCCGGUCUGAGAGGAUGAACGGCCACAAUGGAACUGAGACACGGUCCAUACUCCUACGGGAGGCAGCAGUGGGGAAUAUUGCACAAUGGGGGAAACCCUGAUGCAGCAACGCCGCGUGAGUGAAGAAGGUUUUCGGAUUGUAAAGCUCUGUUAGCAGGGAAGAGGAAGGACGGUACCUGCAGAGGAAGCCACGGCUAACUACGUGCCAGCAGCCGCGGUAAUACGUAGGUGGCAAGCGUUGUUCGGAAUAACUGGGCGUAAAGGAUGCGUAGGCGGUUAAACAAGUUAUAUGUUAAAUAUAUAGGCUUAACCUGUAGAAAGCAUAUAAAACUGUUUAACUAGAGUGCAGGAGAGGUAAGUGGAAUUCCUAGUGUAGCGGUGAAAUGCGUAGAGAUUAGGAAGAACACCAGUGGCGAAGGCGACUUACUGGACUGUAACUGACGCUGAGGCAUGAGAGCAUGGGGAGCAAACAGGAUUAGAUACCCUGGUAGUCCAUGCUGUAAACGAUGGGUACUAGGUGUGGGUUGUGAAUAACAAUUCGUGCCGUCGCAAACG
rnacentral:rRNA from 1 species